CCUUCAGCAUUAACACCUCUCAGAGUAUAUGAUGCCCCACAGUAAGAGGGCAGUUCCCUGCUGGUCCGAUAUGGCAUUUACUGUUUGCCAGGCAAAACAACCAACAACCUAGUCCCCCUGACCUCAGAAGGUGAACAAAGUUCCUGAGCUCCCAGCUGGUGUAGCUCUGACGAUUCACUGGAGACACAAUCACACAAU